GUACUCAUUCUGGCAGCACAUAUACGAAAAUUAGAAUGAUGCAGAGAAGAUUAACAUGGCCCCUGUGCAAGGAUGUCAUGUAAAUUAAUGAAGUGUUUCAUGCUAUU